rnacentral:lncRNA from 1 species
UGAACUGCACAACACAAGCAGAGCAUAGAAGCAUUAACACCCAGCAUUUUUCAUAUCAGAGGCCUCAUGAAGGCGAACUUUUGGAACGAAAGGAAACGGUAUGGGUAACUUUAAUCCACUAGCCGCUAAUCAUUAUCCCUCCAACUAACACCACAGCAGAAAUCAAACUACCAUGAUGCUACACCCUACCUGUUUCAGUUUGAUACCCAACGAUAUUAGCCAACGAAAACCUGCAGUUUAGAGAACCUAAAAUGAGAGCUCUGAAAAAUCAGGUGAUAGCUUGAGCGACAUCCUCAG